AUUGAACGCUGGCGGCAGGCCUACCCCUGCAAGUCGAACGGGUACAAGAAAAAGGUUUCUUCUUUUCUUACCAGUUGCCGGCCGGGUAGGAAUGUUCUGGGAAACUGCUGAUGGAGGGGGGUUACUACUGGAAAAGGUUACCUAAAACCCAUUACCGCGCCAAACCAAAAAGGGGGGCCUUCGGGGCCCUUGGCCUCCGAUUUGGCCAGAUGGGAUUAGCUAGUAGGUGGGGUAACGGCUCACCUAGGCGACGAUCCCUAGCUGGUCUGAGAGGAUGACCAGCCACACUGGAACUGAGACACGGUCCAGACUCCUACGGGAGGCAGCAGUGGGGAAUAUUGCACAAUGGGCGCAAGCCUGAUGCAGCCAUGCCGCGUGUAUGAAGAAGGCCUUCGGGUUGUAAAGUACUUUCAGCGGGGAGGAAGGGAGUAAAGUUAAUACCUUUGCUCAUUGACGUUACCCGCAGAAGAAGCACCGGCUAACUCCGUG
rnacentral:rRNA from 1 species